GCCUGGGUGGCUCAGUCGGUUAAGCGUCCGACUUCAGCUCAGGUCAUGAUCUCACGGUUUGUGGGUUCGAGCCCCACGUCAGGCU
rnacentral:tRNA from 1 species